UACGUAGGUGGCAAGCGUUGUCCGGAAUUAUUGGGCGUAAAGCGCGCGCAGGCGGUCUCUUAAGUCUGAUGUGAAAGCCCACGGCUCAACCGUGGAGGGUCAUUGGAAACUGGGGGACUUGAGUGCAGAAGAGGAAAGCGGAAUUCCACGUGUAGCGGUGAAAUGCGUAGAGAUCCGGAGGAACACCAGAGGCGAAGGCGGCCUACUGGGCUGCACCUGACGCUGAGCCGCGAAAGCCAGGGGAGCGAACGGG
rnacentral:rRNA from 1 species